UUUGCGAAAUUAACAGCAAUGAAAAUGGCGAAACGAAACUUGUGAAUCGUGCAUUUGCUCUUCAUGGUAGCUGCCAGAAAAUCGAAUCAAGCUUAUGGGACACUGGAUUACAGGUUGCUGCCACUACUCCAUGUGCCCGCAAUUGUCUUGCGUGUAUGAUUACACUAACGACGUCGCCCACCACGGCGGAAGUGUUUUGCGUACACGCGUUUCAGCAUGAAGCCUGCAGGUGGACGUAAAUUGUAGAAGGCAGCUAGUGGGGGAGAAGAUCAUGGUCAUAGGUCAUAUGGCUCCUGGAGCUCCCAGUGGGCUCCCUUGUGGAGUACUUUUCAGAACACACACACAGUUCGCUCACAGAACCAACGAGU